GAAGUUUGAGAUCCCAUAUUUCACCGUGUCUGGUAUACAGGUUCGUUACCUUAAAAUCAUCGAGAAGAGUGGAUACCAAGCUCUACCUUGGGUGAGAUACAUCACAAUGGUGGGAGAAUAUGAACUGAGGCUCAUCUAAUUAAGAACGCCCAACUGCUUGCCGUUCGGCACUUGCAUUCAAGAUUUCAAGCUUUUUGUAAGGAUUAAAAGCUUGUUCAAAAUGCUCUCUGUUCAUUUUUUUUUCAGAGAAUGUGUUGAUAGCUUGAUUACAAUUAUUCCCAAUUUCCUUUCCCUUCAUGUCAGUAAAUAAAAUGUUCUUGUAUUCGACUAUCUCUUUUUA